CCUACGGGCGGCAGCAGUGGGGAAUAUUGCACAAUGGGGGAAACCCUGAUGCAGCGACGCCGCGUGAGUGAAGAAGUAAUUCGUUAUGUAAAGCUCUAUCAGCAGGGGAGAAAAUGACGGUACCUGAGUAAGAAGCCCCGGCUAACUACGGGCCAGCAGCCGCGGUAAGACGUAGGGGGCAAGCGUUAUCCGGAUUUACUGGGGGUAAAGGGAGCGUAGACGGCAGUGCAAGUCUGGAGUGAAAGGCGGGGGCUCAACCCCCGGACUGCUCUGGAAACUGUACGGCUGGAGUGCAGGAGAGGUAAGUGGAAUUCCUAGUGUAGCGGUGAAAUGCGUAGAUAUUAGGAGGAACACCAGUGGCGAAGGCGGCUUACUGGACUGUAACUGACGUUGAGGCUCGAAAGCGUGGGGAGCAAACAGGAUUAGAUACCCGAGUAGUC
rnacentral:rRNA from 1 species